UAAUACCGCAUACGACCUAAGGGAGAAAGCGGGGGAUCUUCGGACCUCGCGCUAUAGGGGCGGCCGAUGGCAGAUUAGCUAGUUGGUGGGGUAAAGGCCUACCAAGGCGACGAUCUGUAGCUGGUCUGAGAGGACGACCAGCCACACUGGGACUGAGACACGGCCCAGACUCCUACGGGAGGCAGCAGUGGGGAAUUUUGGACAAUGGGGGAAACCCUGAUCCAGCAAUGCCGCGUGUGUGAAGAAGGCCUUCGGGUUGUAAAGCACUUUUGUCCGGAAAGAAAACUUCCUGGUUAAUACCUGGGGAGGCUGACGGUACCGGAAGAAUAAGCACCGGCUAACUACGUGCCAGCAGCCGCGGUAAUACGUAGGGUGCGAGCGUUAAUCGGAAUUACUGGGCGUAAAGCGUGCGCAGGCGGUUUGUUAAGACAGAUGUGAAAUCCCCGGGCUUAACCUGGGAACUGCAUUUGUGACUGGCAAGCUAGAGUAUGGCAAGCUAGAGUAUGGCAAGCUAGAGUAUG
rnacentral:rRNA from 1 species